UUGUUUUGUUUUUUAUCAAAAACGAAUUCGCUAUCCGACUUGAAGUUCUCGGGGCAUUUUUUAUAAUUUAUCUCUCUAAUACUGUGAUUGUUCACUUUUUUGAAGCAUUCAAUCUCAUUUUGUGAUAUUAUGUCCAUCACUGUACUAAAAUAGUAAAUGCAAUGUUCAUUUCAUCAGUGAUUAGAGAAUCCCGUGCCUGUUCUCCUGAUUUUGCAAUCAACGUCUAUUCCUUGCUGAUGUCUUAGGUACUUACAUACGUCGACAGUUAAUUUUGUGGUCGAGGUUCUUCAAGUGGUUUACAUUUCCCCUCAGUGAUGAUUACUAUAAGGGGAUGUUCUUUUCACGUCGUAUAACUUCCCUCCAGCUUAUAAUUUUGUUUGUUUGCAUAUUAGCACUACUCAUUGGCAAGCAAAUGAAGGAUUUAUAUGAUAAGCAUCAGCAAAUUAUACGUCUAGAGGACUACAAUCACUUUUUGGAUGAAAUGGCUGUAACAAUGAAGAGCUUCGAGAAACGGCUUGUCAAUCAUUCUCACAAAAUUCGUGAAUUGAGCAAGUUCGUGAAAUCAGAGAAAAGCUCAGGAGUGAGGUGACGAAACAGAAAGGCAGUGACUUGCAAUGUAAUUCAAAUCAUCACUUUUCCCCUCUCUCAUGUCCCAGCUGGAUGCCUUAUUUUUCACUUCUUGUUUCUAUUUGUAUAAGCUCUUUUUCCCCUGUGUUUGUCCUUCUUUUUCUAGUUGACUUAUUUGACCAUUUUGUGAGUGAGGUUUCACGGUGAUAUGUACUUUUUUUUUUGUUAUUUUUAUUUCUUCAAAGAACAAAGUCAAAAAAACGAAGAGUCCAAGACGCUGUAACAAUCAAGAUUCUGUAUAUCAGCACAUCUGCAAGAAAGUUUGGCUAUUUGAUCUUAUUGUUUGUUAAACGUGACUCAAAAAUUUUCUUAAUCAUAAUCGUUUGUUCUCUUUCACUCUUUUUCGCUUGGUGGGUAAAAGAAGCCGUGAUCGUCUAAGACAAAAAAGAGGGAGGAAGAAGAAAUUGAAAUAUUACGGUUUCUAGUACCUACUUUUUAAAAGCUAAGUGAGCAUUUGACAAUCAGGUGUUCAGCUCUUCUGAAGAUUUAAUAUAGGCGCCUCAAAGUGUAUCAUAUCAAUGAUAUACAUGUAUCUUGGUAUGGAAGACCAAGUAAAAAGGUUUCUUUUCCCAGACAAAGCCUCUUUGAUUACCUAUUAAAGUUCUAAUUAUGCAAUGGAUAUUGUAUGCCACCACCCCACCACUCUUAAAAGUAUUUCUUGAACAAUUAAUUCCAACAUUUUUUGUAUGACUUAAUUCCGUUGUUAUUGUUUUUGUUGCUUUUUCCUCUUUUUGACAUGUUUUUCUUUCCUCCAUUUGUAAAUUAUUGUUUGACACCCAUUUUAUUAUUUUUCCCAUGACAUCGCCUCUUUUUCAGUAGCCACUCAAAUUAAAAGUUUACAAAUGAAAACAGGCUGUUGAAUUUGUGCCAAAUUUUAAAAGUUUUAUUUCAGAAUUUUUUUGUAAAAGGUCCUGUACUUAAUUUUAAAGCCAAUGACAGACAUCCUGUCCCUCACUUUAUCCUAGCUUUUUAUUCAUAAGUUUAUUUGCAAGUUGCAAUUUCACAAGUUGAUUAAUUCAAAAUGCAGUUAAGAAGGAUGCACACUAAAUAUGUGAAAGUUUAUCCUACAUAAAUUCAAGGUGUCAACAGAAACUUUGCAUCGUUUCAAUCUGUUAAGUUAUUCGGAACCAGUAGUGUUAUUUGUAGGAUGUAGCUGAAGGAACUGCUGAUAUUCUUUUAAAGCCUGCGUUUAAUUUUGUAAUAUCACCAAAUGUCUUAUUUUUUGCCAAACACAUGUUUCUCAAAAAAGCACUGUCCUGAAAACUUAGGGAAUACCUAAAAUUAAGUGAUUUUUGAGUGAGAUAGAAUGGAUCAUAAAAAGUGUUUACGUCCAAUGAGUUGGUUGACCUUCAGAGUGAAAUAAAAUAUUUGGUACCUUGUCUUUAGCGUAUAGUUUUUAUGUGAAAAUGAAGCUGGUCCAUCGCUGUUGACAUUGAAAAAUUUGGCCACCUCAGUUGUGGCUAUAUGAUUUUUAGUGACCUUUUAAAACUCUGAAACCAACACUCUAUCUCUUCUUCUGAGUUCUGCCCGAUUCAAAAGUCCAUUCAAUCUUAUUAAUUUUAAACGAUUUUUUAUCCUAUACUGAAAUGAUCAUCAUUUUUUUAUUAUUCAUAGUUUGAUUAAAAUAUGCAGGUCUAUCAUUGAACUUUUGUUCUUUUUGACUCGGCAGGACAAGACUUGGUGGAGUAGAAUUAUGUGUUUGGUUAACUUUGUCAGGUGCCUUUUUUGUCGUGUCUGCGUCGGGUGGAAUUGACAAUAAUCGAAAAGCACCUCCAAAAGCUUGUUGGCAAUUCCACUAAGUACAGGCACAACGAAAA